rnacentral:rRNA from 1 species
UACGGGGGGAGCAAACGUUGUUCGGAAUCACUGGGCGUAAAGGGCGUGUAGGCGGCUGAAUGAGUGGGAUGUUAAAUCCCCCGGCUCAACCGGGGGAACUGCAUCUCAUACUGUUCAGCUUGGGUACAGCAGAGGAGACUGGAAUUCCCGGUGUAGCGGUGAAAUGCGUAGAUAUCCGGAGGAACACCGGUGGCGAAGGCGGCUUCCUGGACCGACACUGACGCUGAGGCGCGAAAGCUAGGGGAGCAAACGGG